AUUGAACGCUGGCGGCAUGCUUUACACAUGCAAGUCGGACGAGUGGCGAACGGGUGAGUAACGCAUCGGAACGUACCGAGUAAUGGGGGAUAACUGUCCGAAAGGACAGCUAAUACCGCAUAUUAUUCGAGCGGCCGAUGUCUGAUUAGGUGGUUGGCGGGGUAAAGGCCCACCAAGGCGACGAUCAGUAGCGGGUCUGAGAGGAUGAUCCGCCACACUGGGACUGGGACACGGCCCGGACUCCGACGGGAGGCAGCAGUGGGGAAUAGUGCGCAAUGGGGGCAACCCUGACGCAGCCAUGCCGCGUGAAUGAAGAAGGCCUUCGGGUUGUAAAGCUCUGUUAAUCGGGACGCGGUACCGGAAUAGAAAGCCACGGCUAACUACGUGCCAGCAGCCGCGGUAAUAC
rnacentral:rRNA from 1 species